rnacentral:rRNA from 1 species
ACGCUGGCGGCAUGCCUAACACAUGCAAGUCGAACGAGACCUUCGGGUCUAGUGGCGCACGGGUGCGUAACGCGUGGGAAUCUGCCCCUUGGUUCGGAGUAACAGCGAGAAAUUGCUGCUAAUACCGGAUAAUGACGUAAGUCCAAAGAUUUAUCGGCAAAGGAUGAGCCCGCGUAGGAUUAGGUAGUUGGUGGGUAAAGGCCUACCAAGCCGACGAUCCUUAGCUGGUCUGAGAGGAUGAUCAGCCACACUGGGACUGAGACACGGCCCAGACUCCUACGGGAGGCAGCAGUGGGGAAUAUUGGACAAUGGGCGAAAGCCUGAUCCAGCAAUGCCGCGUGAGUGAUGAAGGCCUUCGGGUCGUAAAGCUCUUUUACCAGGGAUGAUAAUGACAGUACCUGGAGAAUAAGCUCCGGCUAACUCCGUG